GACGAACGCUGGCGGCGUGCUUAACACAUGCGAGUCGAACGGAAAGGCCCUGCUUUUGUGGGGUGCUCGAGUGGCGAACGGGUGAGUAACACGUGAGUAACCUGCCCUUGACUUUGGGAUAACUUCAGAAAACUGGGGCUAAUACCGGAUAGGAGCUCCUGCUGCAUGGUGGGGGUUGGAAAGUUUCGGCGGUUGGGGAUGGACUCGCGGCUUAUCAGCUUGUUGGUGGGGUAGUGGCUUACCAAGGCUUUGACGGGUAGCCGGCCUGAGAGGGUGACCGGCCACAUUGGGACUGAGAUACGGCCCAGACUCCUACGGGAGGCAGCAGUGGGGAAUAUUGCACAAUGGGCGGAAGCCUGAUGCAGCAACGCCGCGUGCGGGAUGACGGCCUUCGGGUUGUAAACCGCUUUCGCCUGUGACGAAGCGUGAGUGACGGUAAUGGGUAAAGAAGCACCGGCUAACUACGUG
rnacentral:rRNA from 1 species